rfam:Capsicum annuum cultivar Zunla-1 unplaced genomic scaffold scaffold174, whole genome shotgun sequence
UAUUGAUGGUGUAACAGUCCUCGAGUAAAUAUUUGAACCUCUCCCAAACAUGAUAUAAGUUUUCAUCCGUCUUCUGCUUAAAACUCAAUAUGUCACUUCUCAAUCU